UGUGCGUUGGAGGAGGAGACGAGGAAAGAGAAGGAGCCGCGGCGGCCUAGACGCCGUCGAGGACGGGUACCAGGGGACGGCGUGGCUCCCUCGUGCCGCGGCGACUCUACGCCCCGCUACGCGACGGCGGAUGGCGCGGGAACCGGAAGAGAGUAGGGGACGGGGAGGGAGGAGAUGCCGCUGCCGCUCGAGAAGCUCAGCCCCCGGAGCGGCGAGCAGAAGGACGGGACGAGGACUAGGUCCCGCCGCCGUACUUGGAGAGGGCGCAGCUGCUCUUAGAGGAGUCGAGGCAGACGACGCGCGCGAGGGAGCGGGAGGAGGGGGGCUGGGGUCGGGGAAGGGCACAGCUCCAAGGUCGAGCUCGACAACAACGCCGCUGCUGACCUAAACUACAGUGACUUCAAGAUUUUUAAUGUACUACCGAACGAAUUAAAAGAAGUAAUUCUCGUCUCUUCCUCUCCCUUCUCUUUCUGUUUCUAUAAAUCGAAAGGAAGGUCAAUAGUAACGUAAUGAAAAGAAAUCCCAAAAGCUAGUAACCAAGAUUCUUUAAUUGGGGUUCUUUCCCACGGAAGACUACAGAUAUUUAGAUUCGAAAUAGACAAGAACCCUAGGCUACCUUCGAACACUAAAUCCUAAUUAAUCUAAUAGACUAGUGUUUUCACCGAGGAAAGAACCAAACAAGAACAGGGACAUUCGACUCGAAGAUAGGUAGGCAGGCAUUAUCUUCUUCGAAUAAAGGAAGGAUCCGAACAUCAUAGUAGAGUACGAGGGAACACGACACUUAAGCAUUACGUUACAUAUGUUUAACCUCCGUCGGAGGGACGAAUGUCAUGAUGAAUGAUGUCAAAAAAGUAAUUAAUUAACCGAAUUGAACAUGAACGCGGACGUGAAAAGACGAUCUUAUUACCCGGAAAACGUGAUUUAGGUAGUAAUUGUUACGGUAAAAAUAUUACGAACGUACGUAGGGAUGCUCGUCUAAUUGCACACGGAUUUGUUAUUUUUUUUUCGGCUCUAUGUGUAGGAAGAACGUUCGUCCUUCUGUACUUCUGUCACUGAACUAGGCGGGUCAGGUCCCCUCCUUUCGUUGUCCCUUUGGGGCGGAAGACGGUGGUCAUACUCUAUUGCCGGUAUCCUGUGUGCUACGUAGGACCACGCGAAUUGGGUGUCGGUAGUAAACUGUCCUAAACUGUACCUACUACAUCAUUCUUACAUGUAGGCUAUGUGUGACUUACCUUUUGUUAAGUUAGGACUACACCAAGACCUAGAGUAUGCAGAAUCCUUUCGUAGUUACAAACUUCUAUUACUUCAACGACUUUAAGACUUAGUCUAUAGUUCUGCUUAACAAGCCCUUUUUCACCUACUCGAGCUCCUCCACAAGAUGCUCCUCCAGCCACGACGUAAAAGGCUGUGUACCCAGGACGGCAGAACACAGUCAACCCAAACUACGAAAACUAAAACUUAAUACACUUCCUUGAGUUGGGGUAUUUCAUGUAAGACCGUUUAUAAAACCUUCUUCAACCACUACGGUGGAUAAAGCUAUUCGUCCAAAUCACUAGAUGAUAGGAUUUAAGGAACGAUUUUUGUAGUAGACUCUCCUUAUAAAUCGAACCUAAAGGAGAACAGUACCAUAGUUGUUGUGUAGGAACGGAAAUCGUGUCUAUAAAUUGACCAAUUAUAUAUACGAAACGAAUGAAGUAGUCGGAUAUAAACUUGUAAAACAUAUUAUAAAAAUUGACCAGUUGUAUGAACAUCUAGAUGUUAAUAAUACAAUCCACAAUCUGGGCUACUUAUUCUGGCUAGGGGUCAUUAAACAAUUAUAGUGGUUCAGUCUUGGGUAUGUCCUCCACCUGACGUAUGACGUUCACGGAGUGUAACAACAUACAUGGAUUAGGUUUCGUUAGGAAACUAUAGGAGGAUAAAAGGAGAGAUUCUAUACGUUAUAAGAUGAUUAAAACAACCAAACAAUUCAAUAGAAGAACAUGUAUCCAGUGUCGACUAGAUCUCUGCUAGAGGUGUUUCUUUUAUAACCCGGUCAACUGGAAGGUGCCCGUACGUAUAGUCUUAGUUUAGUUUUCGGCCUUCGAAGUUAGAACGGAAUAAGUGUAUCGAAAAGUUCUAGUUUACUCCUAAACGGACUACACCGGGUAUCGAUCUAUAAACGUGCACUAUCCACGUGCUCCAUGGUACGUUCGUUCGUCCCACCGGGACUAGUACGACAUCCCCGACCCAUAUAAAGAUAGAAACAUUCUGGAAAAUUCAGACUGAAUUCUGUGGUCCUUCAUACGGAGAUGAAAACCUGCGACGGUACACGAUAGGCAAUGAAAACUUGGUGGUAGUAGCAAGUACAUUGGAGGUCUUAUGUAAGAGAUUCACACAACAAAAACGUACCGAGGUAGAAUUUCAAAGUCAAUUUUUGAAC
rnacentral:rRNA from 1 species